GCUUACGGCCAUACCACCCUGAGAGCGCCCGAUCUCGUCUGAUCUCGGAAGCUAAGCAGGGUCGGGCCUGGUUAGUACUUGGAUGGGAGACCGCCUGGGAAUACCAGGUGCUGUAAGCUUUA
rnacentral:rRNA from 1 species